rnacentral:rRNA from 1 species
AUUGAACGCUAGCGGGAUGCCUUACACAUGCAAGUCGAACGGAGUGGCGACCGGGUGCGUAAUGUCUCGGAACGUGCCCAUUAGCGGGGGAUAACUACGCGAAAGCGUAGCUAAUACCGAAUACUCUUGGAGCGGCCUAUAUCGGAUUAGCUAGUUGGUGGGGUAAAGGCUCACCAAGUCGACGAGCCGUAGCUGGUUUGAGAGGAAGAACAGCCACACUGGGACUGAGACACGGCCCAGACUCCUACGGGAGGCAUCAGUGGGGAAUUUUGGACAAUGGGGGAAACCCUGAUCCAGCCAUCCCGCGUGUGCGAUGAAGGCCUUCGGGUUGUAAAGCACUUUUGGCAGGAAAGCGGUACCUGCAGAAUAAGCACCGGCUAACUACGUGCCAGCAGCCGCGGUAAUAC